GCGUGUUUCCACUCACCUUCAUCUUUCCAGUGAGAUUUAAUUCUUAAAUCCUUUGUGUUUAUAAAUUACAGUGAAGAGGUUUGGAUUUCUAUAAUUGUGAGAGGUAUCUUUUACAGAGAGUGGGUUUGGUACAUUGUCUGGUUUACAUCAACUCAACAGAUGUAAAUAAAUGAUGGCGGAGGGCGAAUACAGAACCUGAAUGAGACCAGCUGCAUCUUUCUAAUGUUUAACAACAAAUUUCUGCCUUUAUCUAUGUUUUAAAUGAACAGUUUUGUACAAUUCUGGGUUCCACAAUGUGACAAGAAGCCAUGUGUUCAUAAGUGGUUUAACUUCUCUGGUAGUAGAAAUCCUUCAGAGACAGCGUUUGAUUUAUUCUAAGGAAUGUCGGUUUCUGCUUUUCUGACAGAAUUAAGCUCAUUUAAACGCAGUCACUUAUUUUAGCUCAACUUACUGCUUUAAUCUUUUUGUUCAUUGAGUUUUUAGUUUUAUAUGAAAUCUUUAAAAAAAAGCAGCAAUUUUUGUGAAGAGACUUCUACGCCCUCAGAUUAACUGAUUUAUAACUAAAGUCGAAAUCCUCUGAAGUUGUAAUUUUAAACAAAUUGAGAUUUUGGAGGGAGAAACAGAAAGGUGAAAAUGUUACUGACUCAAUAAAAUUAUUAUUAUUUUUUACAUAUUUGGUUGUGUAAGUUUAAAUAAAAAUCUUUGAAACAUUAACAAUAUUACCUAAAGGUGGAAAAACCACAGAGUCAAUGGGUUUGUGAAUAAUAAUGUUAAAUAUGCAGAUGGUCCAACAGCUCUCCACCUGCAGAACAUUCUGCAUGUGUCUGAUUAACUGGGACAGCAAAGAUUAAAGCUGAUUAAUAUUUACAGCCGAGUCCAAACAUUUUUCUUCAAAACAAACAAAAAGCAAAAGGUGGAGAAGCUGUGACUUGUUUUUAUGCCAUUAGUGGGCAUCCACAACACAAACAAUAAGAAUAAAAGAAAGAAAAUCUGCAAUGUGGGGCAAUCAGAGUGCAGAGUGAUAAUAUUCAACUGAACCACAGACAGGGUUUGAUUUAUUCUAAGGUUCCUUAGAACGGUGCUACCAAAACAGGACCAGCGACAAUUCAACUGUGUUUAAACAGCUAAAAAGUCUAAAAUGCAGUAAACUCUAAUCCUAAAAUGGGCCUAAAAUAAAAUUCAUCUGCUCGAAUGGGAGGACGGCGAGAGGAGAGGGACAAAAAAAGGAUGAGUUUAAGGAUGAUGAGUUUAAACAGGAUGCUGAAGCAUUCAAAGAUGGUGAACGGUGAGUGCAGGUGGGGGAGUGGAGGGAAAGUUUCAGAGGUGAAACAGAGACAGCUGCAGGAGAAGAAAAGCUUACGGCUGCUAUGAGGGGAGAUGUGGAGAAAAUGGCAACAUGAAAACAGAUGAUGUGAGGAUAAUGGUGGCAUGGUGAAAAGAAGAAGACUGAUCAGAGGUAUAAUUAAAUUGGCUGCCAGGUGUUUCAUUUGAAUAGCUUUUUAAAGUGCUUUGAAAUAAUCCAUUAUCAGUGUUUUUCACUGAACUAAAGCGAUAUUUACAAAUCUUUUCAUAGUUAUUGUUUGUGAGGUGGGUGACUCACCAUGACAUCAUAAAUAAAAAAAUAAAAGUAAAGGAACCCUAAAGAUUUUCCACAGAAAAUUUCACAUCUUUAAAACAAGUUUUUUUUUUUUUUUUUUUACAGCAUAAACAAGUUAAAAGCAAUCUUCAAAGCCAUCUGUAGUAACACACUG